CUGUAGUUUGGAGUCACCAAGACUCAGAAGUGAUCGUAGCAGCGCUCACACAUCGCUCCUAAACUGUUUUUAUAUUUUCAUUCCAUUAUUUUAUGACUCCUACAUCUGUGUAUAUACACUCUUUUUUAUUUUUAUAACGAGACAACAACAAGAUGGAACUCAAUUCUCUCCUAAUUCUGCUGGAGGCUGCAGAGUACUUGGAAAGAAAAGACAGAGGGGCAGAACACGGUUAUGCGUCUGUUUUACCGUACAGCGGCGACUUUUCCCGAAAGAAAACGAAAGCUUCGCCAAUUUCCAGAAAAACUCAGAACAAUAGAUCAUCACACAAUGAGCUGGAGAAACACAGGUAGGAUGAAAAUCUCCUGCUAUCUUGUCUGUCUUUUAUGUGUCUCAGAUUUCUCUGCAUUGUCUUUGAAGGCAC